ACGGAGAGCAAACACCGGGCAGAGGGCUAAGCUGCCUGAAGCUGGGAACCCCAGGGAGUGUAGACGCCGGCCUGGAUCCCGGGUCUGGGAUGGCAGACAUGAAACUUCUUGGGAAGACAUCCCUCCCCACAGGCAGGGGGUCCUCACUGGUCUCACACGGGUUGUCCCCAUGAACUUGUGGGAGCUUCACGGCUUCUGCAUCUGAGGAGCUGAUUGGAAGGGGAGGUGGCGUGCAGGCUGACAACGCGAUGCUUCGUAUUCAUCAUAAUCACAGCAACAAGACCGACUCACACCAAUGCAGCCCUUCCCGAUGCCAGGCGCUGACCUUCACACGCAGUGACGCGUCGCAUCCUCAGAACCACCCCAGGAGGUACCCUGCUAUCCUAUUCCCAUUUUACAGAUGCGGACACUGAGGCUCAGAAAAGCGGUGAAGUUUGCCCAAGGUCACACGAACUAAGAACGUCAAUGUUUGUUCUCGGGUUCAAAGAAGUCAGCGUCUUUGGCGGGAGCUGGGCCACCAUCGCCCGGACCACGCUGGGGUGCUAAGUGCUCACAUCCUCCCCAGCACUGUCCUCAACAGCCAAGAGGCAGGCACAGGGGAAAACCCACCAGCAACACCAGCACCACAGCGUCCACACCCGCCGAGGAUGCUGCACAAAAGGCCCAUGGACCAGGGUGCCUGGGGGCAGGGCAUGCUGGGCACCGUCCAUCUUCUGGCAGCUUCUGGUUAACCCGAAAAUCCUGUUUGGUUUUCCUGUGUCUUUUGAGAAUGUCACUCAAACCCCUGAAUCCUCUCUGUGAUCUAAGUGUCAUGAGGCCUGCAAAACCUCGCUUCCUGCAGCAGACUUCUCCGCUUCCUGGCCCCCAUGAAGACUGUUAUCCACAAGUAGCCAGAGGGAUUCUGUAAAAAUCAAAGUCAGGGCAGGGCCCUCCUCUGCUCAAAACCCUCCCAUGGCUCCCUACUUCACUCAGGGAGGAAGCCACGCCCAUAUUGUAGCCUCUUCCACCUCUCACACUCAUUGCACAGGCGGCCACCAAGCCCCUUUCUACCCCAGUGCCUUUGCACUUGCCACCCCCUUACUUCAUUGCAAUCCCUUCUUAGCAGAGAGGCUGACCCUGAAUUCCCUCCUGAAAUAGUGACCCUUCUCA
rnacentral:lncRNA from 1 species